rnacentral:rRNA from 1 species
GAUGAACGCUGGCGGCGUGCCUAAUACAUGCAAGUCGAGCGAACAGACGAGGAGCUUGCUCCUCUGACGUUAGCGGCGGACGGGUGAGUAACACGUGGAUAACCUACCUAUAAGACUGGGAUAACUUCGGGAAACCGGAGCUAAUACCGGAUAAUAUAUUGAACCGCAUGGUUCAAUAGUGAAAGACGGUUUUGCUGUCACUUAUAGAUGGAUCCGCGCCGCAUUAGCUAGUUGGUAAGGUAACGGCUUACCAAGGCAACGAUGCGUAGCCGACCUGAGAGGGUGAUCGGCCACUCUGGAACAGAGCCACGGUCCAGACUCCUACGGGAGGCAGCAGUAGGGAAUCUUCCGCAAUAGGCGAAAGCCUGACGGAGCAACGCCGCGUGAGUGAUGAAGGUCUUCGGAUAGUAAAGCUCUGUUAUUAGGGAAGAACAAAUGUGUAAGUAACUAUGCACGUCUUGACGGUACCUAAUCAGAAAGCCACGGCUAACUACGUG